rnacentral:misc_RNA from 1 species
CAGAGUUUUUAACUCCAAACCCAUGUGAACUUACCUAUGUUGCCUCGGUGGGAGCCUACCCUGUACCUACCCUGUAACGGGUUACCCGGGAGCGGCCCCACCGGUGGACUUUUUAACUCUUGUUAUUUUAUGUAAUCUGAGAGUCUUAUUUUAAAUAAGUCA